AUGUUCCCUGCAUCUCUGCUGUUGCUGCUGGCAGCUGCAUCCUGUGUGUUCUGUCAGACUGAGCUCACACAGCCAGGCUCUAUGACCCUGCAGCCUGGACAGCCUCUGACCCUCUCCUGUAAGGUCUCUGGGUAUUCAGUAACCAGCACCUACUGUACAGCUUGGAUUCGACAGUCUGCAGGAAAAGCACUGGAGUGGAUUGGCGUAAUUUGUUACGAUGAAAGCACAGCUUAUAAAGAUUCACUGAAACACAAGUUCAGCAUCACCAGAGACAUUUCCAGCAACACGUUGUUUUUAACAGGACAGAGUCUGCAGACUGAAGACACAGCUGUGUAUUAUUGUGCUCGAUGA